rnacentral:snoRNA from 1 species
GCGUACUCAUGCCAGAGUAAACUGCAGCCUUGAACCAUUGCUCAGCCGCCUUACCUGUGAGCUAUGAAUACUGAAGCAGGUUGCACAGUG